rnacentral:rRNA from 1 species
UACAGAGACUGCAAGCGUUAUUCGGAUUCACUGGGCGUAAAGGGUGCGCAGGCGGCCGCGUGUGUGAGGCGUGAAAGCCCGGGGCUUAACCCCGGAAUUGCACCUCAAACUACACGGCUAGAGCAUUGGAGAGGGUAGCAGAAUUCAUGGUGUAGCAGUGAAAUGCGUAGAUAUCAUGAGGAAUACCAGAGGCGAAGGCGGCUACCUGGACAAUUGCUGACGCUCAGGCACGAAAGCGUGGGGAGCAAAAGGG